UACGUAGGGGGCAAGCGUUGUCCGGAAUCAUUGGGCGUAAAGCGCGUGUAGGCGGCCCGGUAAGUCCGCUGUGAAAGUCGGGGGCUCAACCCUCGGAUGCCGGUGGAUACUGUCGGGCUAGAGUGCGGGAGAGGCGAGUGGAAUUCCUGGUGUAGCGGUGAAAUGCGCAGAUAUCAGGAGGAACACCAAUUGCGAAGGCAGCUCGCUGGAACGUGACUGACGCUGAGACGCGAAAGCGUGGGGAGCAAACAGG
rnacentral:rRNA from 1 species